GAGCAAGUGAGUAGCAGUGUGUCUGAAAGCUAUGAAAUAUUGUAUGGUGAUAAAGAUGGCUUCUCCCACACUGGACAACUUUCUGAGGCCUUAGCGACACAUUGUUCACUCUUCCACCAAAGGCCAUCUGUUCAGGUUGUUCCCUAUGUUUAUCAAAAUCCUACUCAUCAGAUUUAUAUGUCCAUAUAAACAGUCUCUCAUCUUCUUAGACAUACUUGAUUUCUCAUCUUCUCUAUGCCAGUAGUUUGUAGAUUUUUCCAUAGCAAAAGCAGAAAUUUGUUACAUCUUAGUUAUAUGUGAACACACGUAACUGCCUGAAGUCAAAAUAUUUAUCGUUUUAUCUGCCACUUUGCAAGCACAAUGUCUGGUGUCAGUAUGGGUACCCUAAUGUGAUUAUCUAAUUCAUUGAAAUAUGUGAACUAUGGAUUCUUAAUAAUAUUUUUUUGUUGGGUUGUGAUAUUUAGGUUAAAACUUCAACAACAAAUUGUGAAUAUUGAAAAUGCAGAGAAAGAAAAAAAUGAAAAUUCUGACCUGAAACAGCAAAUCAGUAGUUUGCAGAUCCAAGUGACCUCGCUUGCACAGUCAGAGAAUGAGUUGCUGAAUUCAAACCAAAUGCUGAAGGAAAUGGUGGAGAGGUUAAAACAAGAAUGCCGAAAUUUAAGAAGCCAAGCUGAAAAAGCACAACUAGAAGUUGAAAGGACUUUGGAAGAGAAACAGAUACAGUGGUUGGAAGAAAAGCAUAAGCUUCAGGAACGUAUCACUGACAGAGAAGAAAAGUAUAAUCAAGCUAAAGAAAAACUGCAGCGAGCUGCAAUUGCCCAGAAAAAG